UGCCCAGCACAGGGCCCAGAGCACAGCAGGUGCCCACCACAGCUUUGUCCAUUGGACAGAAGAAAUGAACAAGAGGGCUGGCCUCAUUUCUGCCCCCUUCCUGGCCCUGGUGCAUGCUACAAAAGGCCAGGGGUCACUGCGGCUCUGAAAUCUACUCAUUUUCUUGAAACACACAGAAAAGAUGUUUCUGGGAUGGAUGUGUCAAGGAAAAAAAAAAAAGGCUGAAGUUGAGAAUUCCAGCUCAGCACAUGUCCUCCAGCCCUCACAGACAUGACGAGGGAUUAAAACGCCUUUUCUCCUCAUUUGCCCAACAUCUCAGGAGAAAGCCAAGUGGCGUCCCCAUCAGGGCUGUCCUGGGCACCCGCUGGCUACGAAGACAACCUCCUCAUUAGCCUGGCUUUCCUCUGAAAAUGAGCUCACACAGACUGCAUUGUGCGUGCCUGUGUGAACGUGUGUGGUGUCAGGUACCCCUUACCGUGC
rnacentral:lncRNA from 10 species